UGACUGCGUACCUUUUGUAUAAUGGGUCAGCGACUUAUAUUCUGUAGCAAGGUUAACCGUAUAGGGGAGCCGGAGGGAAACCGAGUCUUAACCGGGCGUUAAGUUGCAGGGUAUAGACCCGAAACCCGGUGAUCUAGCCAUGGGCAGGUUGAAGGUUGGGUAACACUAACUGGAGGACCGAACCGACUAAUGUUGAAAAAUUAGCGGAUGACCUGUGGCUGGGGGUGAAAGGCCAAUCAAACCGGGAGAUAGCUGGUUCUCCCCGAAAGCUAUUUAGGUAGCGCCUCGUGAAUUCAUCUCCGGGGGUAGAGCACUGUUUCGGCUAGGGGGCCAUCCCGGCUUACCAACCCGAUGCAAACUGCGAAUACCGGAGAAUGUUAUCACGGGAGACACACGGCGGGUGCUAACGUCCGUCGUGAAGAGGGAAACAACCCAGACCGCCAGCUAAGGUCCCAAAGUCAUGGUUAAGUGGGAAACGAUGUGGGAAGGCCCAGACAGCCAGGAUGUUGGCUUAGAAGCAGCCAUCAUUUAAAGAAAGCGUAAUAGCUCACUGGUCGAGUCGGCCUGCGCGGAAGAUGUAACGGGGCUAAACCAUG
rnacentral:rRNA from 3 species